rnacentral:rRNA from 1 species
GACGAACGCUGGCGGCGUGCUUAACACAUGCAAGUCGAACGGAAAGGCCCUGCUUUUGUGGGGUGCUCGAGUGGCGAACGGGUGAGUAACACGUGAGUAACCUGCCCUUGACUUUGGGAUAACUUCAGGAAACUGGGGCUAAUACCGGAUAGGAGCUCCUGCUGCAUGGUGGGGGUUGGAAAGUUUCGGCGGUUGGGGAUGGACUCGCGGCUUAUCAGCUGGUUGGUGGGGUAGUGGCUUACCAAGGCUUUGACGGGUAGCCGGCCUGAGAGGGUGACCGGCCACAUUGGGACUAAGAUACGGCCCAGACUCCUACGGGAGGCAGCGGUGGGAAAUAUUGCGCAAUGGGCGGAAGCCUGAUGCAGCAACGCCGCGUGCGGGAUGACGGCCUUCGGGUUGUAAACCGCUUUCGCCUGUGACGAAGCGUGUGUGACGGUAAUGGGUAAAGAAGCACCGGCUAACUACGUG